rnacentral:lncRNA from 1 species
AUGAAUGCCCCGCGCACACUCGCCGCCGCCGCCCGCCCCGCGCGCAGCCCGCCCCGCGCCCCGCGCCCCGCGCCCCGCGCCCCGCGCCCCGCCGGCCGCGCGCCCCCGGCAGCGGGCGGGGAGCGGGGCGCGGGGCGCGGGGAGCCGGGCCGGGCCGGGCCGGGCCGGCGGUGGGCGGAGCGCUUACCGUGUUCCUGCUCUCGGGACGGCGAGCCGGGCGGCGGGAGGGCGGGAGGGCGCGCGGGCGGCCGGGCACCGGGGCCCCGAGCGCGCGGGGCUCGGGCUGGGCCUCCGGGGCGGCGGCGGCGGCGAGGGCGGCGGCGAGGGCGCGGCGCGGGAGGCGGGCGGCGGGCGGCGGGCGGCGGGCGGCGGGCGGCGCGCCGGGUCCGCGGGCGCCGUGGCCGCGCCGGGAGAUGUGUGUUAGUAGGUCAGUUCCGAGCGCCGCGCUACGUCGCCGCCCGCCAGCCUCGCCGUGACGGGCGGCCCGGGCCCCAAUCGCCGCGCCCGCACCCGCCCCCGGCCCGCCGCCAAUGGCCGCGGCCGGCGGGGGCGGGCUCUCCGCGGCCCCGCCCCCGGCCCGCCCCUCCUCCGCCCCCUGCGCUCCCCUCCCCGCCCCCUCCGCUCCCCUCCGCUCCCCUCCCCUCCCCGCCCCUCCCCGCCCCUCCCCACGCCCGCUCCGCCCCCCCUCCGCGCCGCGCCGCCGCCCGCCCGCCAGCCCGCCCGCCUCCCUCCGCGGCCGCCGCCCCGCGCCCCGCGCCCCGCGCCCCGCGCCCCGCGCCCCGCGCCCGGCUCCGGGGGUGCGCAGCGGCCGGGCCCGCGGGCGGGCGGGGGGCGGCGGAGGGGCCCGAGCCCCCGGCCGGCUCUCCCAGCGCCGCCCCCCCCGCGGCCGCCGCGCGCACUCCCGGAGGCGCUUUGUGUGUCCCCGAGCACGCAGCGGCGCGGCUACCUGUUGCCCACCGAGGACCCGGGCGUGGCGCGGACCCCGGCGGGGGCCCCUCCUCCUCGGGGCGGGCGCGGGCAGGCGCGAGGGGGGCGCUGGCGAGCCGCCCGCGGGGGGGGGGGGGGGGGAGCGGCUGCGGCCGAGCCCCGUGGGGCUGCGUGGGCGGCGGUGACCAGGCCCUCGCGCGUCUCCCCGGGGAGCGCGGCGGCCCGCGGCGGGCAGAGAACGCGCCGCACACAGACACCGCCCCCUGCACAAUUAGGGCGCGGAUGACGGAGGCGAGGUGGUUGCGUAAGCCGGCCGGGGCCGAGAGGUGGCCGCCGCGGUGCGCCCGGCCCGAGGCUCCUGCGCGCGCUGCUGGCGCCCGGCCCGGCCCGGCCCGGCCCGCGGGUGACCCCCCGCCCGGAGCCCGCCCGGAGCCCGCGGCCCUCUGCCCGGCGUCGGACGCGGCCGGCUGCCCCUGCACCCCCGGGCUGCGUGAGACGCGCAAAGAGGUGCUAUGA